UCUUCUUCUUCUUCUUCUUCCUUUGAGGUUCUUUUUAUUUUUUUAUUUUUCCCUCUACUGGAGGGAAAAGAAAAGGGUGCAAAACCCCGUUAUAUCUAUUAAUUAAAUCAAUCUUAAAUAGAAAAUAUGUAAAGCCUUUUACAUCAAUUCUUGAAAUAAAUAGUAGAAAAUUCUGAAUGGCAAGUGCUCUACGGUGAAGUAAGCAACUGAAAUCAACAAUUUCAGGUAGCCAGAGCUGUCGUCUUCAGACCCACCGUACCCAAUACCAAAUAAUGUGCGAUGUCAAAGUAAAAAUGAAAAUCAUUCAAGUUUCGUCUUCACUGUCUGAAAGUAGGCAAUCUUGAAUUUGCUGCCUUAGCAUACUGGAAUUGUCACAGCUGCCAUGCUUCACCCGGGCAACCAUUUGUUGGGGUAAAGACAAAUAGAAAUGUUCCAUUGAUGAGGAAUCCUUGGGGAGUAUCUGAAAACGGCAACUUGAACAACAGGCACCACCAAAUCUUGAACUUUGGCAACCUUCGGGUUUGUUCGAACUCGAUAAAUCAGAAUUUCUGAGAGGACUAUUGCAAAGAGGACAGAAUGACUCCGAGGACAUAGAUUCCAUGGGCUUGAGAUUGUAUCUCUUCUGACGCCUUCGAGUAGCCAAAGGAACAGUACAAUCACUGAUUUCAGGAAUUCUAUUAAAAUGGAAUGGAGUAAGCUUUCCAGCUGUUCGUACAAUCGUACACUCUCGAGAAGGAUUUUCUUCCUGCAACCCAAAAGAUUUAACAUUGAUAACUAACAUUCUCUUACAAUAAAGAGCUAGCACUGCACUCAUACUAAAAGGCCACAAAAGAGACUUGUCAAGAAUGAACACAUAAUUUCAAGUUAUCUAAACUGAUCAGACUUGUUUUCCUUUUUGAAAGAAGACUAAUCUUCACGCAGAUGAAAGCAACCUUAACAACAAAACCCCUUUUUUUCUCCUUGUCAAAGGAAGUGGGCAGCGGGUGAUCAAAAAAACAAUGACACUAGUUCUCAUCAACUAAAAUGCUUAUUGAACUCUACUACUCACCAUCAAUUAGUACUCCCAAAUGGCCCUAAGGCACUCUAAGAAAUAUUUAAGUUAUGAGAAGAAAACUUCAUACCUGCAAAAGAGUUACAAAUGAAGACACCAAACCAUUGAUUCCAGCGGGAGGGCUAUUAGGUAACUGCAAGGUCUUUAGACUGCCCCAUCAAUGCGGCAUAGCAAGUUCAACUCCUGUGCUGUACAGUCACGAAGCGGAAGAACUACUGGUAUAUCCCAUCUGGCAUCAACAUACUGCAUAUCAGCUGACAAAGAAUAUCCUUGGCCCUUCACUGUUGCUGCAAGGACAUGGCAAGCAAUCCUUGAUGUGCAUGAUCCUAAAAUAAGCCUGUUGUAUCCAUUUUCAGAAGCAACCUUUUGCAAGGCCAACAUCCGCAGGUGUAGCAGAAGGUCUUCUUUCCCUGUCGCAUCAUUCACAGCAUCUAGUAAUUUUGUCAAUCUGUCCUUCCCUUCAAUUGAAUCUGAAGUAUAUAUAUUUUCAAUUGGAAACACAUGCAAUUGCUUCAUAGGUGGGGUUAGCUUUGAGACAACCAAUUUCAUCUCUCUAAUUGCAUCAUCCACUUUCUCAGAAGCAACUGGGUAGACAGCACUUUCAUCAAUAAAUGCUACUCCAACACCAAACACCGGUAAUGAUCUGUCCUUAUUGGCAUCAAAAUUUUUCUGCGCUCUAUGCUGCAAUUCAUGUACAAACUGUAGGGCCACGCUGAAACACAACUAGAAGUGCUCAGAAAAUAAAAUUGAACAUUACAAACAAGGCAAAAUAAAAGGAGCAUUCCACGGUGAAUUUCCAAAUAAAACAGCUUUAAUAAUUUUGUUUAUAAAGAAAUAAUCUUUGGAUCAUCAUCAUCAUCAUCAUAUAUAUUCCAAUACAAUGAUAGAGGAUCAAGCUAUAUAUGCAACCAUAAACUCAUUUCUUCAAUCGAAUUGUUAUUAAUGGCAAAAAUAUAAUUAAGCAUUUAAAAAAACGUGUUCUUGUGAAUAUUAUUCUAAAGUUGCUUCAAAUUAACAAAAAAAUAUUGCAAAUUCCUGAACCAUCCGUAGUAAAUUUUGUAUGCAGAGAACACAAUACAUCUCUUACACAAAAGCAAAACAUAAUCAUCAGCUAGAAAUAAAAUCAAACACAAAGACACAAAACGCUAAGAAGAGAAACCUGGAGGCAGGGCCGCCAGAGAAAGCGACAAGUACAUUAUCAGAAGGGGUAAUCAUAGAAUAAGAAGUAACAGAAAGUCUAAACUUCCCAUAAAGAUUGCGCCGAAAACAACCGUAACAGAAGUGCGCAUCAUCAGCACCAGCACC
rnacentral:misc_RNA from 1 species